rnacentral:rRNA from 1 species
UACGUAGGGUGCGAGCGUUGUCCGGAAUUAUUGGGCGUAAAGGGCUCGUAGGCGGUCUGUUGCGUCAGGAGUGAAAACUCGAGGCUUAACCCCGAGCCUGCUUCUGAUACGGGCAGACUAGAGGUAUGCAGGGGAGAACGGAAUUCCUGGUGUAGCGGUGAAAUGCGCAGAUAUCAGGAGGAACACCGGUGGCGAAGGCGGUUCUCUGGGCCGAUAUCGACGCUGAGGAGCGAAAGCGUGGGGAGCGAACAGG